rnacentral:rRNA from 1 species
CCUACGGGAGGCAGCAGUGGGGAAUAUUGCGCAAUGGGCGAAAGCCUGACGCAGCGACGCCGCGUGAGGGAUGAAGGUCUUCGGAUCGUAAACCUCUGUCAGCAGGGAAGAACGGUCACUGUGCUAAUCAGCAGUGAAUUGACGGUACCUGCAAAGGAAGCACCGGCUAACUCCGUGCCAGCAGCCGCGGUAAUACGGAGGGUGCGAGCGUUAUUCGGAAUUACUGGGGGUAAAGCGCUCGUAGGCGGUAUGUCAAGUCAAGGGUGAAAUCCCCGCGCUCAACGUGGGAACUGCCUUUGAAACUAGCAAACUGGAGUGUGUGAGAGGAUAGUGGAAUUCCAGGUGUAGGAGUGAAAUGCGUAGAUAUCUGGAGGAACAUCAGUGGCGAAGGCGACUAUCUGGCACAUAACUGACGCUGAGGAGCGAAAGCGUGGGUAGCAAACAGGAUUAGAUACCCUUGUAGUC